GGAACGAGUGCCCGGAGCCAGAGCCUCCUGUCCACGGGAAAAUUGAGCCCCAGCAAACCACGUAUUCCUUCAAAGACCAGGUGCUCAUCAGCUGUGACACAGGCUACAAAGUGCUGAAGGAUAAUGUGGAGAUGGAUACUUUCCAGAUCGAGUGUCUGAAGGAUGGGACAUGGAGUAACAGGAUUCCCACCUGUAAAAAAACCGAAAUGGAUGAGGAGAACGAACUCGGGUCAGAGCAAGAGACAGAGUGAAUGACGGGAGCCCACAGAGUGCAGACGUCCAGGAAUGGACCACUCACAAGACCCCUCCCCACCCUGCCAACACUCCAUUUCCAAUUUCUGUGCGGAUUAGUAUGGAUGCUGAACCAGGCAACACAGUCAAGCAGUUGAAACUCCUGCAUAAAGGAGAACAUUCUCCACUGGAGGGCUCACCCAUCAUUCAAUCAGUACUCUGGAAAAUAAUGAAAAGACCAGGGAGAUUUUUUUUUUAGCACCUCCAAGUGGACGGUACUCUUCUCAAAGGACAAAUGACUUUGGUCCUAGAGACCCAAGAUUUCAUACACAACCACAUGGCCCUAGGCUGACCAGGUCAAAGUGGGUCUUGGUUCCUAAUCCACUCCACACUUGAAGUUAAAAUGGGCCAGAAGGCCUGUGACUUGAUGACUUUAAUAUCUUUAUCUGUUGCUACUUUCUAACAACCAUGAGUAGGUGAAACUAACAAUAACUCAUAGAGCAUGGGUUUUUUAGGAAAUCUCGACGUAGCCUCAUCCACAAAAGUUUCUAUGCCACCUGCGCCCAACACGGGGCCAAAAGUGCAUUAUCAGAGGUCCUCUCCUCUGGGCUGGAGCUUACAGAUCCUGCAUUUCUGAAAACUCCUUGAUUAAAGUUUCAAAAGAUAGGUAUCACACUCACAAGCAGCAGUCCUCAGCUUUGGUGUCAUGGGACAUCACUGGGUCGCAUGAUACAGGGCUCCGUAGAAGCAGCAGGAAUCUCUGCUUUAGCCUGAACAAACCCAGAAUAGACAUAUCAGAGAAGCCCUGCAUUACGCUGUGACUGCUCAGUCUUUGGGGUGAUGGAAUGGGCUUUUGAUGCGGGCAGAACCCUGCAAGGGUGGACAGCAGCAGGUGCAUAGAUCGUGGUGCCAGCCUAGGGCAGGGGUGCCCCUGAAAGCAGAGAUGAGGUGGGCAGUAGAGAGGAGCAUUCAGUUCAAGCAAUAUGUUUAAGCCCCCAAAGUGUCACAGAUAUUGCACUCAGUGAGAUAGAGGGAAUCCUAACUGAGCCGGAAGAUUUGAUAUGGGCCCCAAUAAAGGCAAUACCAGGCAACAUAAGAUAAAUGCAUCAGAGAGAUGAACAGAGGCCUCUGUGAGGAGAAAGGAGGAGGCAGCUGUAUCUAAUUAGAAGACUGAGAAAAAACUUUCAAGAAGAAGCAGUGUUUGACCAAGGCCUCAAGGGCGGCUAGAGCAUGGACCCCAGGGGUUCCCAUGUGGGGAAAGUAGGUGAGGGAGCAGCACAGUGAGAGGUCUGGGAUGCUGGAGCUCAGAGGCACCAAGGGCGGGGACAAAGAGGCCCUAGGGUAAGGGGCCGUCCCUGAGGCUGGAGGGCCGGGGGAGCCCAUGGUGCAUCAUUCUCCAGGAAGCCCCGGAUGGUGGCAGAGCACACUCAGGACGGCGGGUCAAGGAAGAUGUGUCUGAAGGAAAAUGUCAGCCAGAGGUGACAGCAGAAACAGAGUGUGGGGUGUUUGAUGAGGGAAUGAUGAGAAGGGGAGGCCAAGGGAAUGGAAAACAGAAGGCCAUUUUGAUUCCAGGAUGUGGAAGUGGCCAGAGGGAGUGUUAGGGAAAGGGUGAAACCCUUCCUAAAGCAAGGAAGCUAGACCAGCUGAGGAAGUGGGCUCUGGGUGUAGCAUCUUUGAUUGUGUCAGGGCUCAAGGCCCCUCAGGAAGGGAAGUCAGAGGGACAUGGCUGUUCACCUGCCACUGUAGACUUGGGAGUACAAGCAUACCACCCCACUCACCAUACCCAAGCUGAAGCAACCCUCUCUCUUGGUAUAGGGCCAGCAAAGUUACUUCUCUGGAGUGAUAGGAAAGCAGGCGGCCCUCUACUCAGGAAAUAUCUCCGCACCUUUGCUGACCAAGUAAAAGGCUCUCAAUAGCCUGACCAGCUAGCCAUGUCCAAGGCCAACCCUGCAAUUCCCCUACCCACCCACCCCCUCACCCCCUGGGAACUAGGUAUUAGGUUGAGAGAACACUUCAGGCAAAAUAAACUGCUAGACCAAAGUUAAGAGAGACAAGAGUAACACCAAGAUCCAGGCACCCGUCAACGGCAUUUCCUAAAAAAGGAAGAAAAAUCUGCUUUGAGAUUCCGCAGGAAAAUACAUUUAAAACUGUGUUAUGGCUUUGAAUAAUAGAUAUUAUUGCCUCUUGUGAUCCAGGGCUGACCCUCACUCACACACAGUGGAAGAGGGUCUCCACUUUGGGGUGAUCAAAACGAAUGGGAAUGAUUUGUCCAAGGGGAUUAGAGGUCAAGACAAAACCUUAACCAGCCCUCUUGGCUUUUGCCUCUCUGCUUUUACUCUCAGCCUUCCCCCUUCUCCUCCGCAACGCAGCGCCUUGAUGUCAUCUCUGUUUUAGAUUACGUUACUCAUUAGUCAUCAAAAUGAUGAAUUUAGAGUUCUAAGCUUAAAAACAAUAAUUUCUGGGUAGCAUCUCAGGGGCAAAUUGCCCUCUCUCUGUUUCCCAAGGAGGGAGGACACUGGAAAUUCUGCUCUUUGGAAUGCUGUCCUCUGAAAUUAUCAGGAGAUUCCAAGCUGAUGUCCAUCAUUACCCAGUUAAUAUUGAUUUUAAGCCAUUUUAAGUAGAAAACAGAUCCUUAAGAACUGUCAGUUGGUUUUCUUAAAAGAGCACUGAGUUUAAAGUCAGGUCUAGUUUUCUGAUUGUAAUUCGCUGUGUGACCUUAGGCCAGUCAAGUCUCCUCUCUGGGUUCAUCUGUAAAGUUAAAAUGAUAUACUGGAUUGUCUGCCUUUGGGUUCCUUAUCAACGACAAAGUUCCAUGAUUCUUCUAUGAUUCUUUAAUUCUGGCAUAGGCUGUUAGAGCUAAGAUGAAGAUUUCCUUAGAAAUGAGCACCACCCCCUAAAGGAAACUCUGGAAGAGGCCCUGACAAAUUGGGGCCUCAGCCCAUAACUUGGCUUCGGAGAGACUCAUGCUGGACUCUGUGCUGGCAACUCCCCUAAGACCACCUCGGAGGAGCAGGCAUCCUACAGCCAGGCCCAACAUAGAGCCUCCAGCAACUGGAGAAGAGAAGCAGAUGAACAAUGAAAAUUUAGUCUACUCCGGGCCCCACCUCCCGCCUUCUGUGACCAAGCAAGAUGCCUACGAAGAGCCAGCAGGCUGGGGUCCUGUACCCAUGCAGAAGCUGCUUUCUUUCUGUUUGAUUUUCGGUUUUUUGUGCCAAGCACCAAUGUGAGCCCAUUAACUGCUCUUACUCAGCAUGUGGUUGGUCAGGAAGAACUGAAGAUUCUCCAGUGCCUGUCAGCCAGAGUUUUUUCGCUGAGCAAGAGGCUUCGUGCUUGGGCAGGAGAGACUAAGAAGAUUGCUCAAUAGAACUGGAAGUCAAGGAAAGGACUAUGUGGGGAAAAGUCUAGGGUCUGCUUAAGUCUCAGUAGUCCUGACCCUGCCCUGGAGUUGACACCAGGCCAGGUGACUUGGCCACAUGGUAGUGCCACAGCAGAUGGGAG